rnacentral:rRNA from 1 species
GCAAGUCUGGUGCCAGCAGCCGCGGUAAUUCCAGCUCCAAUAGCGUAUAUUAAAGUUGUUGCAGUUAAAAAGCUCGUAGUUGAACCUUGGGUUCGGCCGGCCGGUCCGCCUCACCGCGAGUACUGUCCGGCCGUUCCUUUCCUUCUGGGGAAUCCCAUGGCCUUCACUGGCUGUGGGGGGAACCAGGACUUUUACUGUGAAAAAAUUAGAGUGUUCAAAGCAGGCCUUUGCUCGAAUACAUUAGCAUGGAAUAAUAGAAUAGGACGUGUGGUUCUAUUUUGUUGGUUUCUAGGACCGCCGUAAUGAUUAAUAGGGAUAGUCGGGGGCGUCAGUAUUCAGCUGUCAGAGGUGAAAUUCUUGGAUUUGCUGAAGACUAACUACUGCGAAAGCAUUCGCCAAGGAUGUUUUCAUUAAUCAGGGAACGAAAGUUAGGGGAUCGAAGACGAUCAGAUACCGUCGUAGUCUUAACCAUAAACUAUGCCGACUAGGGAUCGGGCGGGAUUCUACAAUGACCCGCUCGGCACCUUACGAGAAAUCAAAGUUUUUGGGUUCUGGGGGGAGUAUGGUCGCAAGGCUGUAACUUAAAGGAAUUGACGGAAGGGCACCACCAGGCGUGGAGCCUGCGGCUUAAUUUGACUCAACACGGGGAAACUCACCAGGUCCAGACAAAAUAAGGAUUGACAGAUUGAGAGCUCUUUCUUGAUCUUUUGGAUGGUGGUGCAUGGCCGUUCUUAGUUGGUGGAGUGAUUUGUCUGCUUAAUUGCGAUAACGAACGAGACCUCGGCCCUUAAAUAGCCCGGUCCGCAUUUGCGGGCCGCUGGCUUCUUAGGGGGACUAUCGGCUCAAGCCGAUGGAAGUGCGGGGCAAUAACAGGUCUGUGAUGC